rnacentral:lncRNA from 1 species
AAACAGUUAUCACAACUCUGUACAAACUGAUACGGUCCCUAGCGGGCAAAAGGGACUGGAAAUGAACGUCGCGGGGUUAUCAGCGCCGAUCUGUCAGCGGCAACUCGCGCGGCCGCAGGCUCGUCCGCUGCAGGAGCCGUGAUAUAUGUCUCGCUCCCUUUCGCUUACAGAAAGGAUUUCUUCCGACAGACGUGACCCCAGAAGGCUGCCGAGGGAGACUUUAGGACAAGAGGCGUUGUUUUUUUAGGGAAGGAAGAGGAGCCUGUGCAGAGUUGAACUGGGGUGGAGAGGUGCCUUGUAAAGUAUGGUUUCCAGAGAUGGUGAGACCUCGUAGCUAAGCGUUGUUUCCUCUGCACGUAACUUUUCAGCGUGGCCGCAUUUGGAAAAGGCUGAAGGUAGAAAACUCUGGAAUGGAGAGGCUGGCGACUGGAGCAGGAUCCAGGGGCUUUAAAUUUUAACCUGAAUGCGAUCGAAUGCGCGACUCCCAGAAGAGAUAGCCAGGCGUCCGCCCGGCCGCUCAACCCCCGCCAGGACUCGGAAUGCCUUGCUUUUGGUUCUUUUCUACAAGGAUGUCUGCGUGGAUAUCCCUGGACACUCGAUACCCCCCGGGGACCUGCUUUUCCCGCAGCUCCGCAGACGCGGCGGGAGGGCGCGCUGGCCCCGGCGCUGCUGGGACAGAGGUGAGCAGCGGGGUGGACAUUGACCGAUUCGACAACGUUCGGGCUCUAAGGGCUCGGGAAGGGACCCGGCAUUUUACCCUCCAGAUUCCCAAUCUAUUUUUAAAAAUAAUGUUCAAAACAUAUGGGAAAAAUAAGUGAUUGCUCCUUUUCAUGGUCACAGAUUGUAUUUAUUUUUUCAGACUGGUUUUCCAACCUAACGAGGGAAUGGGUAGUGAAUGUUGUUGUUGUUGUUGUUGUUUAUGUUGGUUAAUUUCGAAAUAAAACUGUUUAACUCGUACAGUUGAUUCAGACAGAAAACCA